rnacentral:tRNA from 1 species
UGGCAGAAUAGCUCAGUGGGAAGAGCAUCAGUCUUAUAAACUGAAAGUCACAGGUUCAAGUCCUGUUUCUGCAACCA